GAGAGAGAGAGAGAGAGAGAGAGAGAGAGAGAGAGAGGAGAGGCAGAAGAGCGUGAGUGUCAGUAGAAUGUGGAGAGCUGGUCGCCGUGGCAGCAUGUUCCCGUCGUCGCUCGCGCUGUUCCUGCCCCUGCUGCUCAGCCAUGUGUGUGUGCUGGCUCAGUCCGUGCUCAACGUCUACCCCUUCCGUCCAGGACUCAGAUGGCGAGGGGAUCACUGAGCCAUCAUUGGCCCCCUGCCCACCCAGUACCCCAGGAACCAGCGGGCCCCCGGGCCCCACAGGACCAACCGGACCCGAUGGACCUCAGGGGCCUCCUGGACUGCCUGGCCUGAGGGGACCCAAGGGAGUAAAGG